GUUUGCAGGAAGCUGUAAUCAAGAAAAAAUAUGGUGGAUUACUACCAAGAAAAACCCCUUUAAUCUCAAAGGAUCAUGAUCGUGCUUUCUUUGAUUCUGCAGAUUGGGCACUAGGAAAGGGGUCACAAAAGAGCAAAGGACCUUUAGAGGCACUACGCCCAAAAUUGCAGCCUACGCCACAUCAGCAAGUUCGUUCAAGACGAUCAUCCUACGCCCCUGC